CAGCAGCCGCGGUAAUACGUAGGUGGCAAGCGUUGUCCGGAAUUAUUGGGCGUAAAGGGCUCGCAGGCGGUUUCUUAAGUCUGAUGUGAAAGCCCCCGGCUCAACCGGGGAGGGUCAUUGGAAACUGGGAAACUUGAGUGCAGAAGAGGAGAGUGGAAUUCCACGUGUAGCGGUGAAAUGCGUAGAGAUGUGGAGGAACACCAGUGGCGAAGGCGACUCUCUGGUCUGUAACUGACGCUGAGGAGCGAAAGCGUGGGGAGCGAACAGGAUUAGAUACCCGCGUAGUCCCUGUCUCUUAUCC
rnacentral:rRNA from 1 species